GGGUUGUGAGGUUAAGCGACUAAGCGUACACGGUGGAUGCCCUGGCAGUCAGAGGCGAUGAAGGACGUGCUAAUCUGCGAUAAGCGCCGGUAAGGUGAUAUGAACCGUUAUAACCGGCGAUUUCCGAAUGGGGAAACCCAGUGUGAUUCGUCACACUAUCAUUAACUGAAUCCAUAGGUUAAUGAGGCGAACCGGGGGAACUGAAACAUCUAAGUACCCCGAGGAAAAGAAAUCAACCGAGAUUCCCCCAGUAGCGGCGAGCGAACGGGGAGGAGCCCAGAGCCUGAAUCAGCAUGUGUGUUAGUGGAAGCGUCUGGAAAGGCGCGCGAUACAGGGUGACAGCCCCGUACACAAAAGCGCAUGUGCUGUGAGCUCGAUGAGUAGGGCGGGACACGUGGUAUCCUGUCUGAAUAUGGGGGGACCAUCCUCCAAGGCUAAAUACUCCUGACUGACCGAUAGUGAACCAGUACCGUGAGGGAAAGGCGAAAAGAACCCCGGCGAGGGGAGUGAAAAAGAACCUGAAACCGUGUACGUACA
rnacentral:rRNA from 1 species